CAACAGCUCAAAUYUGAAAUCUGGCCUCUUUGGGGUCCGAGUUGUAAUUUGUAGAGGGUGUUUCGGGCGCGAUGCCGGUCUAAGUUCCUUGGAACAGGACGUCGCAGAGGGUGAGAAUCCCGUACGCGACCGGCGAUCAAGCCUGUGUGAAGCCCCUUCGACGAGUCGAGUUGUUUGGGAAUGCAGCUCAAAAUGGGUGGUAAAUUUCAUCUAAAGCUAAAUAUUGGCCAGAGACCGAUAGCGGACAAGUAGAGUGAUCGAAAGAUGAAAAGCACUUUGGAAAGAGAGUCAAACAGUACGUGAAAUUGUUGAAAGGGAAGCGCUUGCAAUCAGACCGGUCCGGAGGCGAUCAGCCGCUGCUCGUUCAGCGGUGCACUCGCCUGCGAUCCGGCCAGCAUCGGUUUGGGCGGUGGGAUAAAAGUCCCGGGAAUGUAGCUUCUCUCGGGGAGUCUUAUAGCCCGGGUCGCAAUGCCGCCCGCCCGGACCGAGGACCGCGCUUCGGCUAGGAUGCUGGCGUAAUGGUUGCAAGCGACC
rnacentral:rRNA from 1 species